rnacentral:sRNA from 1 species
CAAGCGGAGAAGGAUGAGAAGCUUCGACUAAGGUUCGACUCGAGCGCCAGCGAGAGAGCGUUGCCGCAGGCAACGACCUGAAGGGCGAAGCGCGCAGCGCUGAGUAAUCCUUCCCCCACCACCA